CUGCCUGUAAGACUGGGAUAACUCCGGGAAACCGGGGCUAAUACCGGAUGCUUGUUUGAACCGCAUGGUUCAAACAUAAAAGGUGGCUUCGGCUACCACUUACAGAUGGACCCGCGGCGCAUUAGCUAGUUGGUGAGGUAACGGCUCACCAAGGCGACGAUGCGUAGCCGACCUGAGAGGGUGAUCGGCCACACUGGGACUGAGACACGGCCCAGACUCCUACGGGAGGCAGCAGUAGGGAAUCUUCCGCAAUGGACGAAAGUCUGACGGAGCAACGCCGCGUGAGUGAUGAAGGUUUUCGGAUCGUAAAGCUCUGUUGUUAGGGAAGAACAAGUGCCGUUCAAAUAGGGCGGCACCUUGACGGUACCUAACCAGAAAGCCACGGCUAACUACGUGCCAGCAGCCGCGGUAAUACGUAGGUGGCAAGCGUUGUCCGGAAUUAUUGGGCGUAAAGGGCUCGCAGGCGGUUUCUUAAGUCUGAUGUGAAAGCCCCCGGCUCAACCGGGGAGGGUCAUUGGAAACUGGGGAACUUGAGUGCAGAAGAGGAGAGUGGA
rnacentral:rRNA from 1 species